GAUGAACGCUGGCGGCGUGCCUAAUACAUGCAAGUCGAGCGAACAGACGAGGAGCUUGCUCCUCUGACGUUAGCGGCGGACGGGUGAGUAACACGUGGAUAACCUACCUAUAAGACUGGGAUAACAUCGGGAAACCGGUGCUAAUACCGCAUAAUAUGUUGAACCGCAUGGUUCAAUAGUGAAAGACGGUUUUGCUGUCACUAAUAGAUGGAUCCGCGUCGCAUUAGUUAGUUGGUAAGGUAACGGCUAACCAAGGCAACGUUGCGUAGCCGACCUGAGAGGAUGAUCGGCCACACUGGAACUGAGACACGGUCCAGACUCCUACGGGAGGCAGCAGUGGGGAAUCUUGGACAAUGGGCGAAAGCUUGACGGAGCAAUGCCGCGUGGGUGAUGAAGGUCUUCGGAUCGUAAAACUCUGUUAUUGGGGAAGAACAAAUGUGUAAGUAACUAUGCACGUCUUGACGGUACCUAAUCAGAAAGCCACGGCUAACUACGUG
rnacentral:rRNA from 1 species